UUGUAAGGUCCACAUAGACUAGUGUGUUGGUUUUUUUUUGCUCCGAACUUUUGUUGUUGUUUUCCUCGCGUCGCACUCUUUCUCUCGUCUAAACUCUAUAUUUCCUUCGGGAGCUGUCAUAUAAAAAUUAUAUCAUCCAACUAGUUUUUUGUUGCGGGUGUCACGACGACCACGGUACGGAAAAAAAAGCUCGUGAUAAAAACAAGAUCCAGACUCACACCCACACGCGCACAGACACCUACAAGUGCGAGAUUGCACUUUGCGGUCGCCGGUCGUGUCACGCACGAGAGUUCCGCUGUCAUUCGAAUCGAACAGUUUGAUCGCUGGAAACGUCAAAUUCUCUCGCGUCAGUGCUGCCAACCUUAGCCCAAUCCAUCCGAGGAAGCCGUACGAAAUUUGGAGAGUGGACCAACUAGGGCUAGUUAUACGGCCAAUCAUCGCUAGUCAUGGCCUACUACUAGCGGCGAAGACCUACACACAGUUGUUGCACUUUAUUUUGUUUCGUUCGCCCGUUUCGUUUCGUCGUUCGCCUGCUUUGUUGUUGUUGUUGGUGUAUUGCUCUGUAGUUGUUGCAGUUGCAACUGCAAUUGCACACUCGGUCGGUCGGUCGUACGCGCGUAUAGUUCGGGGUUGUGCGGAGCUGCAGCAGCCAACACUAAAACAGUUGUGGUGAAGUUUUCGAAACGCCGAGAAGUGCAAAAACAGAGCGGCGCGCCGAGUUUUUCGCCGUUUUUUGUCGCGCCGCGCGCGAUUGUUUCCUCCGAAUGUGCCUUGCGCGUGUGUGUGAGUGUUUACUUCCUCCUGUGUCAACUGUCAACUGUGACAGCGAUCGUGCGUGACCGUGAAGCUUUGUGUUGACACACUGUGAAUCUGUGGUGAAUUUCGGGAAGAAGACCGUGACACGCGCGCUCCUCCAGCGAUCGCUGUAGUGGUGUAUGUGUGCAGUGGUGAAUACCCAUUCAACCCACCACUGUCCUUCACGCACACUAGCGUGCAAUGUGUUUAUGUGUGCGCGCGUAGCCUACUAGAUCAACAUGACGUUCGAUCGAUGCGUACACCACACUGCUGUGUGGUGAAUUCAAAGCAUACUCGCUCACACAUACGUGUGUUAGUGCUCCCGCUGUGUGCACCACUAAAUUGAUAACAAUUGAUUAUUUAUCGCCGCCGUCGGAGCGAUUCGGAAACGUCACUCCAUCGAAAACAAAAGAAAUCAACACCUGCUGCUGCAACAAUGUGAUCACACCAAUGCAUUCCAGCGACGACGCGACGCCACCGGAGUAGGCUGUUGCAUCAGUUCAAGAUUAUUUCACCAACACCCAGAAAAAACGACGCCCAGUAAUUUUACACUGUGAAGAACCAAGGAGAGAGAUAUAAACACAACAACAACAACAACAACAAAACAUAAUAAUCAAGUGCAAAGUGUCAACCAGUGUGCUACGUUGGCCGAAAUAAUAAAUAAUAAAAAAUAAUAAAGUGCAUAGAAAGAAGCAAGUGAGGGAGUGAAAAAAGGAGUAAAACGAGGAAGAUCGAGUGCUCGCGCUGGUAAUAUUCCAAUCCGUCCAUUCCAUUUCCCGGGUGUGCCCUGAAAAAUAGUGCGCGCUAGUUGUUGUACAUCACCAGAAUAUUAACGAAGG